ACUCAAAGGAAUAGACGGGGACUUGCACAAGCGGUGGAGCAUGUGGUUCAAUUCGAUGGCAAACGAAAAACCUUACCAGGGCUUGAAAUCUCGACGCAACUCCGGUGAAAGUCGGAGCCUCUCACAAGGACGGCGGGACAGGUGCUGCAUGGUUGUCGUCAGUUCGUGAUGUGAAUUGUUCCCUUCAGUGGGGUAACGGACGCAACCCCCUUUGCCUGUUACAAGUGUCAGGCGAGACUGCCUUCGUUCAGAAGGAGGAAGGCGGGGAUGACGUCAAAUCAGCAUGGCCCUUUGAUGCCCUGGGCUACACACGUGCUACAAUGGUGUAUACAGCGGGCCGCGAAGCCGUAAGGCGGAGCUAAUCCCUCAAAGUACACCUCAGUUCGGAUUGAGGGCUGCAACUCGCCCUCAUGAAGCUGGAAUCGCUAGUAAUCGCGGGUCAGCUAUACCGCGGUGAAUACGUUCUCAAGUCUUGUACACACCGCCCGU
rnacentral:rRNA from 1 species